rnacentral:lncRNA from 1 species
GAACUAAAAGGGCCCUCAGAGAGAAUCUCGCCUGAUCCAUUCAUUUUGAAUAAUACAAACUGACUUUCUUCAUUCUGGACGACUUUUUCCAAGGUGGCAGCCUGUACAGUGAUCUUCCUUUCCCUGAAAAUCCACAGGGGCAACGAGCCCAACUAGCAACAUUCAAUAUCUGGGCUUCACCUUGACCCAGAAAAUGCAAAUCAAACUAUGCUGAAAGCUUCAUACAAAGGAACUGAAAAGUUGAACAGUUCUCCCUUCCAGCCAAGGGCAGAAAUGAGGAACCUGCCAGAUCGGAGAGUUCCCAAAUCUAAUCACCAUUUAUGCUAGAAUUCCUUCAGCUGCAAAUAAUGCAGGGUCUCAUCUUAGCAGUGACAAGAUAUCUGCCAGCAGCACCAGGCCUACAUCUUCCCAGCUUUAAAUUCAGUGAAAAGACAGGAUCUCUUUCUAAAGCACUGCA